GAAUGAAGGAAGCAUUGUUAUGUGUACAGAAAUUGAUUUGGGUCUCUAAGCCUGCCGUUUCUGAUGCCUUUCGGCUUUGAUUUGGGGGCAUGGUUCCGCAACAAAAUG